UACGUAGGGUGCAAGCGUUGUCCGGAAUUAUUGGGCGUAAAGAGCUCGUAGGCGGUUUGUCGCGUCUGCUGUGAAAUCCCGAGGCUCAACCUCGGGCCUGCAGUGGGUACGGGCAGACUAGAGUGCGGUAGGGGAGAAUGGAAUUCCUGGUGUAGCGGUGGAAUGCGCAGAUAUCAGGAGGAACACCGAUGGCGAAGGCAGUUCUCUGGGCCGUAACUGACGCUGAGGAGCGAAAGCGUGGGGAGCGAACAGG
rnacentral:rRNA from 1 species